AUACUUACCUGGCAGGGGAGAUACCAUGAUCAUGAAGGUGGUUCACCCAAGGCGAGGCUUGGCCAUUGCACAUUCGGCUGAGCUGACCUUUGCGAAUUUCUCAAAUGUAGAAAUCUCGAUUGCAUAAUUUGUGGUAGUAGGGGACUGCGUCCGCGCUCUCCCCUG